GAACGCACUCACGCAGGCACAGCCAACUUACCUUGUCACGUAACAACGAGUGGCAUAUGAACGAGUAGAAAAUUCAAAAUGGUCGCCCUGUUUUGUUGAGUGCGCGAAGAAAAUUUGAGCUCCCGUUCAGAACUAAUUAUUUACUUAUCGAAAGUAAUAAAAUUCAGAAAGUUUAGUGAAAAACAUUUAUCAUAUAUAUUGCCUUCAGUUUAUUGUAAAAAAUUCGCGUAAUCACAGCAAAACAGUGUCGAAAAUCUGUGAGAAAGUUAGAACUCAAUAUCGUGCGCAAAGUGUAUGCAAAAAGAAAAUUGUUCCCCCAUCUGCCUUAGCAUUUUUCAGUGCUCAGCGACGGCGAAAAGCAAACAAGCGAAAAAGUAUUGAACGUAUAUGCAUUCAGUGAGCAAAUAGCAAACGGGCGACGGACUAAUAACAGUUUGCAAGUUGAAUAUUGUUUUUGUGUUUAGUAAUUAAUAGUGCUAUAAAAAAAUUAUUUUUGGAAAAUUCUUGGAAACCACGCGUUUAACGUUACUACGAGUGCUUAUUUACCAAAAGUGUGAAAAACGGCCAAAAAAUAAAUUAAAGGUAACGCGCUUGAACGAAACACUUCUGUGUUCAUGAGAACAAAGCACUUUAAAGGCAAUACCAUUCUCAAGACCGAUUGCAAAAGGAGGGAAGCGGCCAAGCCUAAAACAGCUUUCGACACGCCGCAUUCCUCCUCGCCAUUGGGCGGAGCAACACUGUUAGCAACUAUGGAUUAGUAGUAGCUACAAAAGUCUUAUAUAUCUCAAUUUCCUGCAUUUGUUUGUCCAACGUAAAAUGAAAUCGGUGUGUAAAGUACAUCACUCUUAGCACAAAUUUAUAAGUGUAAAUGAAGUACAAAUAAGUAAAUAAAAAUAGCUUUUAAAGAAAUAAACAUUGUGAAUAAUUAACUAUAAACUCUUAAAGUAAUUGUGCAAUUGCCAUAUAGUCAAUAAGCUAAACAAAUUGACCAAGUACCGUGUGUAUGUGCUAACAAAAUUAAUUAAAGCAAUCAUCAUUUUACUCGUGCUUUCCCACAUUUCACAAAUAACGUUGUAAUUGACGGGAUAUUAUUUUUACGGCCGCACAGACAGCUGGUAGUUAAUAAUUCCACAAAAGCCACAAUUACACAAUUUGUCAAAAUCAAUGUUUAAAUAUCAUAUCAUCAUAGAGGGCAAUAAAAAGCUUAACACUGGACCGGAAGCGUGUCUUUAAAGGGUAAUGGCGGCCUCCACUCAGGGAGAAAUUCGAGUGGGUCCCGGCCACCAGGUAAACGAUGUCUAUGCAAAAUUGCCCGAUUAUAAUCCAAUUUCAAGCUUCCCCGUUGACAAAGAGAGCGACGAACGUGAACUAGAAGAAUCAAGAUGGAGUCCUGGCAUUGUGGCCGAUGGCGAUUUGUUAAUGUUUUUGCGUGCGGCGCGUUCUAUGGCUGCAUUUCAAGGUAAUAAAGAAUGUGUGAUGGAGGUUUAGAAGACGGUUGUUUAGCUGCUAGUCGUGACGAUACAACAAUUAACGCAUUGGAUAUUUUACACGAUUCUGGUUACGAUCCAGGCAAAGCACUACAAGCACUCGUUAAGUGUCCCGUUUCGAAGGGCAUCGAUAAAAAGUGGACGGAGGACGAAACAAAGAAAUUCAUUAAGGGCUUACGGCAAUUUGGUAAGAAUUUCUUUCGCAUACACAAAGAUUUACUACCGCACAAAGAGACACCCGAAUUGGUGGAAUUUUACUAUUUGUGGAAGAAGACACCGGGUGCCAAUAAUAAUCGACCGCAUCGUCGACGCCGGCAAAGUGCCUUGCGUCGCAAUCGUGUCACACGCGCUAGUAAUACACCUCCGAAGAAGGAGGAUACACCGGAACCACAAACGGCGACGACGGCGUCAGCGGCGGCAGAUUCGACGCGCUCGUCGCCCGUUGUCUCCAAGGAGGAGAAUAGUUCUCUAACCGAGGACGAUAUCAGCGAGUGCGACAGCGAUUCCAGUCUGACAAACAAAAGGGAUGAAUCACCAUCUAGAAUGAGGACACGCAAUAAACAGCAGCAACAACAACAACAGAAUAAUAAUACAAAAGAGCAAGUAGCGAAUGGUAAACGACCCAAACGUGGUACUGAAACUCCCGACACAGUGACAGCGGCCGAUAGUCCAAAGACACCAACUAAAGGAGCAAACAUAAACGCUGAUAAUAAUACGACAACGACGGUGGCGGCGAAUAAGCGUAAGGGCGGUAAGCAGGAUACGCCGAACAAGAAGAAGCGUACCGAUGUGGAUGGUAGCGCAGGUUCUGGCAGUGGCGGUGGCAGUGGUGAUGUCACCGAUGAUGGCAGCAGUCUUAGUAAGGAUAGUGGUAAGCGCAAGCGAUCCGAUAGUCCGGCGGAAGAGAGCAUGAACUCGGAUAGUCGACCUGAUUCGGUAAUGGAUGAUGCCGAGUCAAAUACGACCGAUACCGUCGAACAGUCGCUAAAGGAAGGCAAAGAUAGCUCCGCCGGCAAAGAGGAUAGUGGUGCUGCAGAUGGCGAUUCAAAGGCGGACAUUAUUGAGAAAUCAGAAAAGCCUGCUGAAGACACCAAAGAGACGAUCAAAAAUGAUGAUGAAGAAACAAAUAUACAAGCGCCAGUUAGCGGACAAGCGCCUGUAGCGCCACAACCAAUCGAUGCCGUUAGUGCUGCUACUAAAGAGCCAAUCUCCAAUGUUAACGAGGAAAACAUGAAUGUGGUCAGUGCGCCGCCAACACCCAUGAAAGUACCGACCAUAGCUACCGUUGAAGCGUUAAAUGCUUCUAUCGGCCGCGGUGAAUUGUCCACGGAACGAAAAGACACAGUCGAAAAAAUGGAUGUAUCGGAUAGUAAUUCCGUCGCCGUCGAUAUAGCGAAGGAGCAAGAAAUGAUGAAAAAGAUCGCUAAUAUGAAGCAGGAAUCAAUGCAGCAGCAGCAGCAACAACUGCCACCAAACAAUACCAAUGUUAAUAUGCAAGAAGCUGCAGUUUUCAUUAAGAAAGAACCAUUGGAUGAUUCCAUGGAUGCUACUUGUAAUCAAAACAGUAACGAACCGCAAGAUCUAAAGGUUAAAGUGGAGAUUAAAAACGAGGAAUGCAAAAAUAAUACGGGCAUGCCGCCGACAUCAAUGUCUUCAGCGGUCAAUGAUGCAGCUGGUGGUCCGGAGGUACCCCCUCAACCGCCCCACAUGCAUAUGCAUCUGCCACCGGCCAGUGUCCAACAACCACCUGGAUAUAUUUUAGAUGGGCAACUUAAGUAUGGACCGCCGCCACCACAAUCGAUGCCAUGUAAUGAUAACAACGCACCGCCACCGUCGGGCAUGCCCUUAGGUGGGCCCCCACCAACGCACAAAUAUCCUGGUGAUAUGGAAAUGAAGUACAAUGAGUCUGCAGCUGCGGCUGCGGCGGCUGCUGCCGUUGCUGGCAUUAAAUAUGAAGGUGGCAAAUUUGCAAUACAGGAUAUCAAGUAUCCACCACCUCCUCUGGAACACGCCAUGAAGUAUGGCACGGUACAAGACAUGCAAGCUGCAGCGGCAGCGGCGGCUGCAGCUGCUGCCGUAGCGGGUAAAUAUGAUAUGAAAUUUGCCUUAGAACAACAGGGCAAGUAUCCGGGCGAUCUAUCUGCACAUCAACAAACGCCGAAAGGUUUUCCUGGUGAGCAGCUAAAGUUGCCUGACAUGAAGGGCUCAAGUAUUUAUAAUAUACCAAAUGCUGAAAGCAAAUAUGCGCCACCGGCCAGUCAACCGGGCGAUGUAGGUGGUUUGAAGUACGUUGGCGCAGGUGCACCGCAAGAUCCGCAGCCACCACCUACACAUGGUGCGCCACCUGGUGCUACGCCCCCACCCGGCAUUGCGAUGCCGAAACCCCACUAUCAGCAUGAGGUGCAACAUCCAUUGGCGCGUUCUUUUGAGUCAAGCUUAAUGUUAAAGUAUGGCGAUCCAAUGUCUGCAAAAUAUGGACCGCCACAAGAUUUGAAAUAUCCGCCACCGCCUCAAGGCUCAAAUGAUGGUGGUCCAAUGAAACCAUCGCCGUAUGCGGAAAAUCUGGUUAAGGGUUCGCCCUAUGGCACUCAAGAGCCUGGCGGUAUGAAAUAUCCGCCUUCGGAAAGCCCAAUAGAUGCAUCAUCCCGUUCGACACCAGGUCAGGACAGUCAAGGUAGCAAUAGUAGUUCACAGCCGUCAUCACAGCAACAGCAGUUCCAAUCGCCGCAUCCAUCACCACAUUUGCCUUCACCGGCAGGUGGUGGUUUACCGCCUGGAAUGCAUCCACAAAAUUUGGUAUCACCCCAUGGACCGCCAUCUCAUGGCCAGAUGAACUCCGGUCUGCCACCUGGUGCAUCUGGGCCACCACCCAGUUCAAUGCAUCAUCCACAUCUCACGCCAUCCCCGAAUAACUCGCAACAAUUACAAGGGCCACACCCACAGUCGUCUGUAGCUUCAUCAAUGCCACCGACCUCAGUUGGCGCACCACCGCCAUUGUCAACGGUAGCCCCGUCAGGCCUACAUCCUCAACACCUCCCGCCCAGCCAUCUUCAACAGUUGCAUCGUCAGCAUCCGGAUAUGCCUCCGGGUAUGCAUCCGCAUGCACCAAUUCCACUUACACUACAGGGUCAUGAUCCAAGAGGUGGUCCACCGCCACCUACACACCAAAUGCCGCCACAGCAAUUGCAAUCGAGCACAGUGCGUACGCCAUCACCAGCACAGCAACCACAGUCUCGUAGUUUGCACGAGGAACGCAUGAAUAUCAAUAGUGGUACACCUACUGGACCGCCACGUGAACCACCAACGUCGCAAGCAUCGAUGCCGCCACAACAGUCGCCGCAUGCGCACCGCAGUUCUCCUUUAACUGGUAUGCCGGGAAAUCCGCCACCAGGUCUCAUUGGUCAUCCUAUGCCCAUACAUCCACAUUUAGCGCAUUUGCCGCCUGGUCACCCAGCGCACGCUGCUGUCGCUGGUGUUGGCCAUCCAGGACAUCCAAUGUUAUCGCACUCAAUGGCCGGAUUAGGUCCGGGUGGUGGUGGCCCAAUCGCUCUAUUAGCUGGGCCACCAUCGUUGACUGGCAUGCCAGAGUCGCCACUCAGUAGACGCACACCACCAUCGCAUAUUGCACCACCGCAUUCCUCGUCUGCACCGCCACACUCAUCCGUUGCUGUUAGUCUGUCUUCUACCACAACUUCAGCCAGUACUGCGUCAAGCACGAAUACUGUGCCAUCGUCUGCCUUCAGUCGCGCUAGCCCGAGCGUGCAAGGACCGAACUCCAACAUUGGUGGACCACAAAGCAUCGGCGGCGGUGGUGGUGGUAGUGCUGGAUUGCCUGGAAAUAGUGGUGCACCUGGUUCAAACGCAGCGCAUCGUUCAACUUCGCCUGCUUCAAGUGUUGGUAGUUUAAGUCGACAAAGCCCGCUACAUCCGGUACCGCAAAGUCCACUCAGCCAUCAUCCGUCGUCAUCAGCACUUUCGGCGGCGGCAGCUGCAGUAGCAGAGCGAGAUCGUCAUGCACUCUUGCGACAGCAAUCACCGCACAUGACACCUCCGCCAGUAUCCAGCGCUUCCACGUUGAUGGCCAGCCCGUUGAGCAAAAUGUAUUGUCCCCAACCGAAUCAACGUGUACUGGGCACAUCACCGCCACCGCAUUUACGGCCUGGCGCUUCACCGCCUGUCAUCCGACACCCACAAAUGCCACUGCCAUUGCCAUUAAUUCCAACAGGCGCUGGUAUACCACAAAUAGCCGUACAUCCCGGACAGUCGCCAUAUCCCCAUCCACUUUUACAUCCUUCAAUGUUCUACUCCCCGCAUCAUCACAAUCCCUUCAAUUAUGGCUAUGGACCAUAUGGGCCAGGUUUCCCCACAGCUUACAUGAAACCACCGCCCCCUGGUGGACCACUUGACCCAGCCUCGGUGCUAGGUGGACAUCAUCCUGGUCUACCGGGACCGCCUCCCACACGUCCCGACGAUCCAGCAAUGGCAGCUGCGGCAGCGGCGGCGGCCGAGAAACAAGCUGUAGCUGCACACCAGCUUAAACAACAGCAACAACAUCAUCAGCAUCAACAACAACAGGCAGCAGCACAAGCGCAAGCUCAGGCACAAGCUCAAGCACAGGCACAGGCACAAGCACAAGCGCAAGCGCAGGCUCAGGCACAGAACAAACCCCCAACACCAAAGACGCCGCAGGGCAGCAACAGCAGUGGCGGUCCGCCGGGAAGUUCACAUUCUGCGCCUACUGGUCUGCCACCAGCUGGUUAUCCAGGAGCGCAUUUAGCCGGUUAUCCACCGCCACCGCACUCCUCGCCAUUCCAAGAUGGUCAACAAAUGGGUAUGAAGCCAACGUCGCACAUGGAUGCGUUAAGAGCGCAUGCACACUCGGCUAAUCUGGGCGGCCCACAUCACCCGACGGAGCCAUUACCGAUUGACAUCGAGCCUGAUCCAGAGCCAGAAAUCCCCAGCCCUACGCAAAAUAUACCGCGUGGUCCUAGUCCCGAAGCCAAACCCGACGACACCGAAUGCCAUCGGUCGCAGUCAGCUAUCUUUGUGCGUCACAUCGAUCGUGGUGAUUAUAACUCCUGCACGCGUACGGAUUUGAUUUUCAAGCCUGUGGCAGACUCGAAAUUGGCGAGAAAGCGUGAAGAGCGCGACAGAAAGCUAGCCGAAAAGGAACGCGAGCGGCGUCAGCAACAACAGCAACAGCAACAACAGCAGCAGCAACAAGCUGUUGCAGCGCAACAGGCGGCCCAACAGGCUAAAUUGAAGGCCGAACUUAAACCCCCAUAUGCGGACACGCCAGCAUUGCGUCAGUUAUCCGAGUACGCCAGGCCACAUGUGGCUUUCAGCCCUGUUGAACAGAUGGUACCAUAUCAUCACCCAAUGGGGCCAAUGUAUAGUAGAGAGAGGGAAUUGGAGGAGAUAAAGAACGCACAAGCGGCAGCCGCCAGUCAGUCGCGCAUGGAUCCGCAUUGGAUGGAAUAUUACAGACGUGGCAUUCAUCCAUCACAAUUCCCGCUGUACGCCAAUCCUGCGGCUAUUUCACAAAUGGAGCGCGAGCGCUUGGGCAUACCGCCGCCACAUCAUGUUGGCUUAGAUCCCGGCGAGCAUAUGAUACGAUUGACGAGAGAAUAUCAUGCACACUCUCAUACUCAUUUACAUUUGCCUUUGCCUUCACAGCCGCAACCACCGGAGGCCGGAUUUCAACUGCCACCGAAUGUUGGCCAGUAUCCACGGCCAAGUAUGCUUAUGCCUAGAGAACCGGAUGUUUUGCUGCGCAUGUCCUACGCCGAUCAGCUUCAGUAUUUGCAGGCUGCUGAAUUCCAGCGACAGUCACUGCACGAACAGUACUUUAGACAACGGCCCAGAUAAAUGGACCACUUUGGUAGAACGUUUUAUAGUAUGCGUUAAGUUUUCUAACCGAACAAAUGGAUUGAGCAUGCUGGGGAAAACUUGGAAUUACAUUAACGCGUCCUUUGUGUAGCGCCAGUACGUAGUGUAAACGCUUGGAAUAGUGAACGUUUAACUUUAGCGCUUGUAUAAAUAAUGCGUAGCUGCGUGCGUAUACUACAUCGUUCUACCAACACCAACAACAAUGACAACCAUCAUCAUCACCAUCAUUGACACAAUCCAACAAGGAAGCCAACAAACUUAUGCGUCGCAACCACUUCGCUCCACUCCACUCCACUCUACUCGAUUCCACUUCACUCCACUCCUCUCCACUGUACUCCACUCGUAUCAGUAUCAACUCCAUCAUAUUGUAAUUUUAAGCAUCAUUAUCGCCAAUGAAAUGUACAACGAACACUAUUUGGUGUUUACUUUUCCAUAGAAUUGUGAAGUACAUUUCAUUUGUUGUGUAAUGCUUAUGCUUUGGGCAAUUAAUUGUUGCAAUUGUUGACAAUUUCUCCCCUCGACGGCGAAAAAAAUCAACUACGUUAGUAUUUACUUGGAAUAAAUAGCACAAAACCGCCAUAAAGCAAAAACAAAACGAAGAACAUAUUAUUGGAUAUGCAACAAAUCAAAAAACCGAGUGAAGGAGACUGUGAACUGUAAUGGAAAUGGAACAAAGUGGCAAUGCAGGCAUAUUUAUAUAAUAUAAGUUGAAAAUUUUAUAAAUUCGUUUUAAAGAAAAAACAAAUGUAUAUAAACACAUAAACAGAAGUGAGUCUACAGAAAUAGUAUAUGUGUAUAACGGCGCUAAUAUGCCAAACUCGAAAAUAUUUAAGCAACACACAAGAAAGAGCGUAAACUGCUGUACAGUAAAUUUAAAGAGAAAUUAAAUGAGAUUUCUAAAAAAGAAAAGUGUUAAAAAAUAUUCGAUAACAGAAAUUAGUAGCAAAAAGUGUUUAGUGGUAUAUUUUGUAAGUUAUAUAAUAUAAAUUUAUAGAUUUUUGUACAAACGUUGUUUUCGAAAUUAAGUUUUUGCAAUGCGAACGAUUUAUUAAGCCAAUAUUGAGCAAAGGUUUUCACGACAGUAUGCGUUAGGCGCUAACUAAAUGAUAAAUUAAGUAGCAGAGAAAUUGACGACACACUACAACAACAAAUACAUACAAGUAAAUAUAUACAUAGAUUGAAAUUCAUUCGUUCUGAAAACUCUUUAAUUAGACGUAACCCAAAAAAAUACGCUUACAUUUGGUUUUUUCGCUUAAACCAAGCUGUUUUUGCAACAGACACUUAAAAAUUAACGGUAGCUGCAAAUCUACAGUUACCGAUUUUUGAGUUGUUUCUUCUAAACCAAAUUUUUUGACGGAAUGCGAUAUUCUUGCAUGCAACGGCAUGCGCUUGUUCACUACACACAUACUUACAUAUAUGGUAGAAAUAGUUACAACUGAAAUAUGUUUAAGUUAACAAACAAAAAUAGCCAUGACAAAGAGUGAAGGGUUUAAAUACUAUUUUUUAUAGUUUUUGUUUUUUAUAAACAAUUUUAUUUGUACUACUUAAUAGACAAAUUAUGGAAUUGUGCAGCAUACACAUGCUUGCAAAUCGUGUUGUAUACACGCAUAUGCACACACACAUACAUAAAUCUGUAAAUAUGUUACUUAAUUGUCCAAUUUAAUAAUGAACAAAUGUGAAGCACGGUAUUUCAUGCGCUUUUCCUUCAAGUAUUUUGUUUGCUUAGAAUAAAUAUUAUAUAUAUAAUCUAAUCCUCGUUUGUAUGCUUUCAACUUGUAUUAAACAUAUUUAUUUAACUCACUUUAGUAUUAUUUGUGUAUUUAUAUAAUUAAUUGAACGCUAUUUAUACAUUUAUUUAACGCUCAAAUCAAUUGACGGCGUUGAACUUGAAUAAAAUAUGCCUAAAAUGUAAGAGAAAAUAAUUGACAAACAUUUUCAAAAUUAGUCUAAUGUUAAGUUGUUAAGCUGAAGCCUAAACUAUAUAAAUGAAUGAUAACAUAUAAAUGUAGUUAAUAACAAGAGCAAGCGUCUCUAGUAGUGCAGCGCAACAUGCAAUUUCUUUGAUAACUAUAAGAGCAUGUAUAUAUUUAGAUACGAAAUGCUAAUGUAAAGCUAAAUUGUUUGUGUAUGUAAAUUAGAUGUUAAAAAAGGAUUUCAAAAAUAAAAUUCGAAAUAUUUGAAAUAAGACAGCAUAUGGCUCUGGUACUACUUUGGUGGCCAGUACUCGUACGUAUGCAUGUAAAGGCCAAACGAAAAAAAUGCACCUUAAAGCAAAAUAAUGGAAAUAGGUAUUUUUACAUACAUAUGCAAGGUGUACAUAUAUAUGCUGCUGUAUGAAUUUAUGUGCAUAAAAUGUAUAGCUGAUAUUUCAAAACUUUUUUCAAAAAUAAAUAAGAAAUUAAAUGCAAAAAUGUUUCCAGCCCAUAAUGCUUCAAAAUUACUUGCACACUAAUGUACACUAAACUGUAGGCGACACAACGCAAAAAUCACAAAUCAGCAAGAAAAUCAAAAAAGCAGCUGAAAAUUUGCAUUACUGUAAAUAAACGCCGAUUAUAAAUAAAAUUUAAUGAAAAAAAGUUUUGCGAAAAUUCAAGAAUUUAUAUUUAUCAAGCAAACCUAUUGCUUAUAAUGCAUUAUAAUAAUUAUUUUUAUUUUAUUUGUUUUGGGUUUUUUUUUUUAUUUUUAGUAAAAAAAUUAAUUUUUUAAAAUACUGAAUUGUAAUAACUACAUGAAGCGACAAUAUAUAAUUUGGCAUUAAAAAUUAUUAAAAAAUACAACAAUGCACAUACUUCAAAAGCAUUAAACGUACAGCAACUAACGUAUUUUGCAAAAAUUAAAUUAUCAUAAUAGUAAAAAUAAUUUAAUAAUAAAAGCAAAAUCCGUCAGUUCAGCUAUGAGCUCAUGCUGCAGCAUAACAAGCAAGAAAAAAACAAAAACAAAAUAAGAACAAGAAAGUAACGAAAAUGUAUUAAUUAUUUAGUUAUUUAAAUAAGCACAGCAACAAUUUGCAGCAACAAAUCUAUACACAACAAGCAUAUAUACAUACAAAAUAUAAACACACAUACACAUAAAUACAUAUAGAAAUAGAGAUAUGUGUAAAUUUAAUUUCAAAUAACGCUACUAGGCUAAAAUGUAUAGCAUACAUUUAAGAUCAUAAGCAAUUAUUAAAAACUAUAUAUAUAAAUAUAUAUAUAUUUUACAAUUAAUUAAUACUAGUUAUAAAAGAUGUGAAAAGUAAAUUCUAAUUAUUGUAAUGACUAACAUUAUUGUGAAAGCGUAACAAAUACAACAAGCUGUAGAAAACUAAAAUACAUUGCAUAUAAGGAUUUUGCGUUAGAGCAACAGCAACAAAAAAAUAUAUAUAUACAUACAUAAAACAAAAUCAAAAUAUUUAUUCAUGACAUACUUGCUAUCCAACUACUCGACCAUAGUCAACAAUGUAGCAGAUUAAAAAGAUAUCACUUAUUAGACUUCCCCUUUCGAUUCAAUUGAACUCAUCUUACAAGGUGCGUUCCAAAAUUGGUAAAACUUUAACCAUAACGUGUGGUGAUGAUUGCCUAUCCCGUAGCAGAGUGGAGUGGAAGUUGGCGUUUGUUGUACGAUAAUGCGCCGUCACAUCGAUCGACGCUUGUGGCCGAUUAUGUGACAAAAACUCACAUUUUAACAAUCAACCACUCCCCGUAUUCACCUAAUAUGACACCGUGCGACUUCUACCUUUUCGGAAAAAUGCAUUUGCCGAUGAAAGGAAAGCGUUAUGCAGACGUGGAGGCCAUUCAAAAGGCUUGCACCGGUAUACUGGCGGCCAUACCGGGCAACAAGCUAAAACACUCGUUCAACAUGCUUUUGGACCGUGCAAAAAGCUGUAUUAAAGCAGAGGAAGACUAUUUUGAAUCAAAUUAAUUGAUUUUGCCGAUAAACCAUUUGUUCUUUUUUUUUAGAGUCCUGUUUACUUUGGAGCGCACCUUGUAGUACUUCAACAUUUUUGUUUUUAACAACAAAUUUCAUUAUUGUCAUUUUAUUUAUAAGACAGAUUCUAAAUAAAAUUGAAUGUUACACCAAAAAAAAAAAUGUUGCGAAAGAAUUCAACAUUUAUUGUUCGACGAAAUCAUGAAUGGAUUACAAUUAAGCUUGUAUCUUAUUAACUUAUAUUAUAGGUCAUAGACUAAGUUAGUUUUAGAACUGUAUUAAAUUAUAUUAACCUCAACCGAGAUACAUGUGACACAAACGCAACCGGAGAGGUUAAAUUUAAUACAUUGAAUUGAUGGACAAAACGUCAACGAGAAGAA